rnacentral:sRNA from 1 species
UAAGCAAAAAAUACAUAUCACACACGUUCCGUCACAAUGCUCAGGGUGCCUUCGGGUUGGGUGUUGGGGGUCGUGGAGGUUUAAC